UUGAAUUGAUCCUGGCUCAGGAUGAACGCUGGCGGCGUGCUUAACACAUGCAAGUCGAACGAUGAAGCCCAGCUUGCUGGGUGGAUUAGUGGCGAACGGGUGAGUAACACGUGAGUAACCUGCCCUUAACUCUGGGAUAAGCCUGGGAAACUGGGUCUAAUACCGGAUAGGAGCGUCCACCGCAUGGUGGGUGUUGGAAAGAUUUAUCGGUUUUGGAUGGACUCGCGGCCUAUCAGCUUGUUGGUGAGGUAAUGGCUCACCAAGGCGACGACGGGUAGCCGGCCUGAGAGGGUGACCGGCCACACUGGGACUGAGAC
rnacentral:rRNA from 1 species